rnacentral:rRNA from 1 species
UAGUCUCCGCUUAUCUGCUUAUCUCUUCUUAUUUUUCUUUUAUAUUAGUCAUUUUACACAUUCUAAUCUUCUUCCUGAGCUAGAGAAUAAUAAUGUGUGGGGAGGGAGGGGUGAGGGUGGAAAGGUUGGGCUCCCCCCACCUCUUUUACUUCGCUCUCUAUNUCCAGGCGGGAUAGAGUUGUGCUAAUCAGUAGUGUACUGUAGAGUAAUCACAGCCCUCAUCCAUCCGCGCAUCUCCAGGUCAUUGACCGUGUGUUGCCUUCGUCGCUGUCUGAUGCCGCAAAGAGAACAGGCGGCGUCAUUCUCGUUAUCUCUGAUUCUCCCAUGCCCAAGGUAGAGUCACUACUGAUCAUUAUUGUAUGCUUAUCCACCUUGUUUUUCUGUAUCUUCGUCCGCGUUGUAUCUGUGCUCGUUUCUCUCUUAUUCCAUUCGCUCUUUACCAUUCUCUCCACGUUGCACACUCUUAGUCUUGCCACACCCUCCUGACCCGUACCCCACACCUCCCCUCUUCACCCUGCCCUUCACAGCGCCGCUCGCUCCCUCCGCCUCCCCCCCUCUGGACAGACGUGUCCUCCGCCACAGCCGGCCAUCAUAUAAUAAUAUCUAAGAAGUGGGCCGAUGUCAGAUGCGAUCUCACUAACUGCACUAGCAUGACGCGUCUUAUUCAGUUGUGCCCCUGUUAUCUGCUAGUAUUUAACUAGCUUCAUAGCGCGGCUGCCUUAGCUCUCUGUCCUGAUUUAGCUACUCCUUCCUUAUACCAACCCUCCCCUACCUUCACCACAGAGGCCUAUCCCUCGCGAAAUAACAAGAAGUGGAAUCACGGGGCAUAUUGAU